GGCUCCAUAGUGUAGUGGUUAACAGCUCUGCUUUACAUGUAGAAGGUCCUGGGUUCGCGCCCCAGGCAGAGCCA
rnacentral:tRNA from 1 species